AAGAUGAACGCUGGCGGCGUGCCUAAUACAUGCAAGUCGAGCGAACGGAUGAGAAGCUUGCUUCUCUGAUGUUAGCGGCGGACGGGUGAGUAACACGUGGAUAACCUACCUAUAAGACUGGGAUAACUUCGGGAAACCGGAGCUAAUACCGGAUAAUAUUUUGAACCGCAUGGUUCAAAAGUGAAAGACGGUCUUGCUGUCACUUAUAGAUGGAUCCGCGCUGCAUUAGCUAGUUGGUAAGGUAACGGCUUACCAAGGCAACGAUGCAUAGCCGACCUGAGAGGGUGAUCGGCCACACUGGAACUGAGACACGGUCCAGACUCCUACGGGAGGCAGCAGUAGGGAAUCUUCCGCAAUGGGCGAAAGCCUGACGGAGCAACGCCGCGUGAGUGAUGAAGGUCUUCGGAUCGUGAAACUCUGUUAUUAGGGAAGAACAUAUGUGUAAGUAACUGUGCACAUCUUGACGGUACCUAAUCAGAAAGCCACGGCUAACUACGUGCCAGCAGCCGCGGUAAUACGUAGGUGGCAAGCGUUAUCCGGAAUUAUUGGGCGUAAAGCGCGCGUAGGCGGUUUUUUAAGUCUGAUGUGAAAGCCCACGGCUCAACCGUGGAGGGUCAUUGGAAACUGGAAAACUUGAGUGCAGAAGAGGAAAGUGGAAUUCCAUGUGUAGCGGUGAAAUGCGCAGAGAUAUGGAGGAACACCAGUGGCGAAGGCGACUUUCUGGUCUGUAACUGACGCUGAUGUGCGAAAGCGUGGGGAUCAAACAGGAUUAGAUACCCUGGUAGUCCACGCCGUAAACGAUGAGUGCUAAGUGUUAGGGGGUUUCCGCCCCUUAGUGCUGCAGCUAACGCAUUAAGCACUCCGCCUGGGGAGUACGACCGCCAGGUUG
rnacentral:rRNA from 1 species